CUGCAAAUUGGGUUCCAUCCGCUCCACGACUCUCCAGGUGGGUGUGACAUGAAAGGGGUAACGUUAUCACCCGUCAAAAGUUGGGAGAUUUUAGUAAUACCUUCCUGUUCCCAAUAGACCAGUGGGAACAAUGGUAAAACUGAGGGUAGGGCCUGCAGGGGAGCUAAUCUAUGGAAUUUGAGGGGUUUCUGGUCUUGUCCCAUGCAAAAAUGGCCAUUUUGUUGGGUGUGAAAGAGGGUGUGAG